rnacentral:rRNA from 1 species
UAACCUGCCCAAGAGAUCGGGAUAACACCUGGAAACAGAUGCUAAUACCGGAUAACAACAGAUGAUGCCUAUCAACUGUUUAAAAGAUGGUUCUGCUAUCACUCUUGGAUGGACCUGCGGUGCAUUAGCUAGUUGGUAGGGUAACGGCCUACAAAGGCGAUGAUGCAUAGCCGAGUUGAGAGACUGAUCGGCCACAUUGGGACUGAGACACGGCCCAAACUCCUACGGGAGGCAGCAGCC